rnacentral:rRNA from 1 species
AUUGAACGCUGGCGGCAGGCCUAACACAUGCAAGUCGAGCGGAUGAAGGGAGCUUGCUCCUGGAUUCAGCGGCGGACGGGUGAGUAAUGCCUAGGAAUCUGCCUGGUAGUGGGGGAUAACGUCCGGAAACGGGCGCUAAUACCGCAUACGUCCUGAGGGAGAAAGUGGGGGAUCUUCGGACCUCACGCUAUCAGAUGAGCCUAGGUCGGAUUAGCUAGUUGGUGGGGUAAAGGCCUACCAAGGCGACGAUCCGUAACUGGUCUGAGAGGAUGAUCAGUCACACUGGAACUGAGACACGGUCCAGACUCCUACGGGAGGCAGCAGUGGGGAAUAGUGGGCAAUGGGCGAAAGCCUGAUCCAGCCAUGCCGCGUGUGUGAAGAAGGUCUUCGGAUUGUAAAGCACUUUAAGUUGGGAGGAAGGGCAGUAAGUUAAUACCUUGCUGUUUUGACGUUACCAACAGAAUAAGCACCGGCUAACUUCGUG